rnacentral:lncRNA from 1 species
GGAGUCAGCAUUAGAAGGGCCCUUGCUCCCCAGCCAGGGAGGGAAAGAUGCUCUUAAGGUGAGAAACAGUGGGUGUAGCCAAUAUAAUCCCGUCUCUUCCCAAGUUACCUCGCCCCCGUAAAGCUCUAAGACAAUUACCACCAGCAUUACACUGGCCAGCGGGCUCAAAACCCCUUGAAACGGGGCAAAUUUGUUCACAUUUCCUGGAAAGAUAAGGUUUAAGAGAUACAAGCUGUGGAUCCCCCUGUGCCUGAAAUUCACUGAUGAUAAGAGGGCUUUUCCCAAGCGCCACUUUGAGUAGGUUACGGGGACCCACGAAACAGGGAGAGAAGAGUGAGCUGCUGGCACAGAUCGUUUCCAGAAUUUCUCCAUGAAUUCAUCUCACAGCCAUGGGCAGCCUGACAAGACGGAAAGAGUGUGAGCUGGAGCUGGAAAACCCAGCAUAUGGACCACAAGAAAUCUCAAUGUGUAAGAGUCCCUGAGAAACUCAGCAAUCAAGGCUUUGAGUUCUCUUUGCCUUCUCCACCAUCAUUCCGCCAAAGCAGAAGAGCAAAGUCACAUGACUAAAGAAGAACGUGUAAAAAGAACCUCUGUUCUGUUCUGGGCGUUUCCGAUCAGCUGAAGGGAAGGUGGAACUGGGCUCUGUCACGCUGCUCCUUUCCAGACCUCAGCAAACCCCAGCCAGUCCUUGACGGAGAAGAGAAGGAGGCAAACACUGCCUGGGAAGAUUCCAGAGUUGAAGACAACGCCAGAAAUUUCCCAAGCGGAGCCACUCCUUUUUCUCCUCUCACCUACCUCCUGCCUGUACACAGCAUCCUUUAAACCAAGCGAAUCAGGAGCUAUGAUGCACACAGUGACUAAAUUUCCAGACAAACAAAAACAUUGGGGAAAAGAGGAGCCACCAACAUAUCUUUUAGCCUUCUCUUUGGACUCACCUGCUAAAUGUCACCCCUCAGCACAGAGUCAAAUAAAAGCCCGCCACAGGCCAGGCAGACCAUCCUCCUGGGGCAGCCCAGCCGGGAAGUUUGCUGGAAAUUCGGUGGUGUGGUCUGGUCAUCCCUAAAUGCUCUCUGGAAGGCAGAGUUCAGGUCAAGGGAAAGCACGCCGCUCCAUCCCCUGACAAAGCCCCACAGCCAGGCGGGCGCAGGUGCAGCCUGCCGAGAGCAAACACAAACUUCUCUCAAACAACAACAAACGGUUGACACCCGCAGCCUGUCAACACCAAUUAGCCUGCCCUGCCAGCAGAAGCCUGUUAAGAACAGCGCUCCAAUCCAGCGGGCUCCACCACAAGCAGAAACUGUCCUCCCACGGCUUCGGCUUCCCCGGAGGAAGUGACCCUCAACAGGACCCACCCCAGCAAGCACAGCUCUCAGGCCUCUCCACUUAGGGAAGCCCGCCUGGUGGCUGGGGUAAGACUCUCCCAGGACCUCGCACUUUUGCUUUCACACGCUUCUUCCUCCACAAC